CCUACGGGUGGCAGCAGUGAGGAAUAUUGGUCAAUGGCCGGAAGGCUGAACCAGCCAAGCCGCGUGAAGGACGAAGGUGCCAAGCAUUUUAAACUUCUUUUGUCACAGGACAAAAUCAGGCUCGAGAGCCUGACCGAGGGUACUUAAAGAAAAAGCAUCGGCUAACUCCGUGCCAGCGGCCGCGGUCAUACGGAGGAUGCGAGCGUUAUCCGGAUUAAUUGGGUUGAAAGGGUGCGUAGGAGGAACGUUAAGUCAGUGGUCACAGUGAGGUGCUUACCCCCUUCCCGCCAUUGAAACUGGCGCUCUUGUGGGGAAGAGAAGUAUGCGGAAUGCGUGGUGUAGAGGUGAAAUGCAUAGAUAUCACGCAGAACCCCGAUUGCGAAGGCAGCAUGCCGGCUUCCGACUGACGCUGAAGCACGAAAGCGUGGGGAUCGAACAGGAUUAGAUACCCUUGUAGUC
rnacentral:rRNA from 1 species